UACGUAGGGGCCUAGCGUUGUCCGGAUUUAUUGGGCGUAAAGAGCUCGUAGGCGGUUUGGUGAGUCGGGUGUGAAAUCUCCACGCUCAACGUGGAGGGGCCACCCGAUACUGCCAUGACUAGAGUCCGGUAGGGGAGUGUGGAAUUCCCGGUGUAGCGGUGAAAUGCGCAGAUAUCAGGAGGAACACCGGUGGCGAAGGCGGGUCUCUGGGCCAUAACUGACGCUGAGGAGCGAAAGCGUGGGGAGCGAACAGG
rnacentral:rRNA from 1 species